rnacentral:lncRNA from 1 species
GACUGCCACCUGAACACUUUGGGCUCCUCAUGCCUCUGAAUCAACGGGCAAAGAAGAGAGUUAUAGAUCCUAACCACCCAGGAGAAAUUCGGUGGCCACUACACAAACAGAGUAAGAGGAGCAUUUCUAUGAUGCGGGAGAUCCUCUAGAAUGUUUGUUGGUAUUCCCAGGUCCUGUGAUUAAAGUAUGUGGAAAACUAUAGCAGCCCAAUUCAGGAUGUUUCCAGAUACUUCAAUGUAUUAAUAGUAAUUAAAUUUAUAUCAUAGUCUUGAAAUUACAAGAUAUCCAACUUGAAGCAUGCAUUGGGAGAAGAAUAAAUAUCAUCCAAAGACAAAAAAACAACAACACGACGUUGUGUUCUACUAAAAGGAAAAAAGCCUAUUUUCAGAUGUACUUAGAAGAGAUACACCAUGUUAGCUUUUCUGACUCUGCGGCCAGGUGUUUGUAUUUAACUCCACGGUGAGGAGACUCAUCUUCUGACGGACCUAACCUAUACCAUCAAGCUCCAGCACCACAAGCAAAGACAAAAACCUUGCGGAAACUAUUUAACUAACUCCCACAAUUGCAUAAGGAUCUAAAUGAAAAUAUUUCUGCAGUGAACCAGUUCUAUUGUUUUAAAUAUCACCCUUAUUAAAGAGAGCUUUGACACUUUUCUAUGUAAA